AUGUCGGGUGCAGUGGUGUGCUGCAAACUUGCGAUGGGGGCGGCCAGGUGGUGCGUGGCUGUGUGUGUGGCGAUAUAUGGAGCUCCGGAGAUUCCUAUUGGAUUGCCGAGACUUGGUCUUGGUUCUGCCAUUGGUCUUUAUGAAGCUUUGGAACUGAGAGACCGUGGAUCUGACUACUUGGGAAAGGGUGUUUCCAAGGCCUUGAACAAGAUCAGUACGGUGCCGAUGGAGGCCCUCGCCGCCGGCGCCGAUGUGUCCAUGAUUGGGCAGUUUGGUGUUGGCUUCUACUCCGCCUACCCUGUUGCCGAGAGGGUCGUCGUCACCAUGAAGCACAACAACGACGAGCAGUACGUGUGGGAGUCCCAGGCCGGUAGCUCCUUCACCGUCACUCGUGAUAUGUUUGGGGAGCAGCUCGGCAGGGGUACCAAGAUGGUCCUCUACCUCAAGGACGACUAG
rnacentral:rRNA from 1 species